rnacentral:rRNA from 1 species
CCUACGGGAGGCAGCAGUGAGGAAUAUUGGUCAAUGGCCGGAAGGCUGAACCAGCCAUGCCGCGUGAAGGUCAGUGCCCUAUGGGCGUUAAACUUCUUUUGUGCGGGAGCAAUAAUGGUCACGUGUGGCCAGACGAGAGUACCGUACGAAUAAGCAUCGGCGAACUCCGUUCCAGCAGCCGCGGUAAUCCGGGGGAUGCAAGCGUUAUCGGGAUUUAUUGGGUUUAAGGGGUGCGUAGGCUGUGAGGUAAGUCAGCGGUGAAAUGCCCCCGCUCAAAGGGGUGAAGUGCCAUUGAUACUGCCGUGCUGGAAUGCGGAUGACGUGGGAGGAAUGUGUGGUGUAGCGGUGAAAUGCAUAGAUAUCACACAGAACACCGAUUGCGAAGGCAUCUCACGAAUCCGCGAUUGACGCUGAUGCACGAAAGCGUGGGUAUCAAACAGGAUUAGAUACCCUAGUAGUC